UACGGAGGGUGCUAGCGUUGUUCGGAAUCACUGGGCGUAAAGGGCGUGUAGGCGGUCUGUUAAGUCUGAUGUGAAAUCCCCUCGCUCAACGAGGGAACUGCGUCGGAUACUGGCAGACUCGAGUACCGGAGAGGAAGGCGGAAUUCUCGGUGUAGAGGUGAAAUUCGUAGAUAUCGAGAGGAACAUCGGUGGCGAAGGCGGCCUUCUGGACAGUGACUGACGCUGAGACGCGAAAGCGUGGGGAGCAAACAGG
rnacentral:rRNA from 1 species